UUCAUUGUACCUCACUUUGGCUUCACCCAGCUGUAAGCGCAACAGGUUCUCUUUCAGUCCCUGUAUCUGUUUGUCUUUCUCUGUCUCCUCAUCUUUAGCCCUCUGUAAAUGAUGCACUAUGUGUCUUUCCCAUACGUGUGAUUCACUACCCGGCAAGUCAGGAUUUGCCAUCAUUGCCUCUUUUAUUUUCUCUGGAAGUCCCUCUAAGACCGCCCUUCUAAACCACUCCUGCUGCAGACCCCCCUUCCCCGGGUGGUGGUGCUUCUAGAUACUGUCUAGGGUGUUGCUCUUUUUCCCAAGGUAACUUGGGCAUCGGGGCCCCAGCGGGCAAGGGAAAUCGUUCCCUCAGGGCCGUGGCUAUGCGCCUGACCACCUGACUGAAAGGAGUGUCGUCAGAGCUCCGCCUAGUGGCGGCCCCUUUUUCUAUCUCAGUCAUAGCCUGGGCGGACACAGCUCGGGGCGGCUACUGCCCUCCAGUCCCCCAGUGCCAACAUUUGACCAGCUGUGAGUUUAUCAAAUUGUGACAACCAUAGUCCACCUCCCUCUCCCAUCGGGGGUAAUUUAUCUACCAGUGCCUGUACGUCUCCCAGUCCCAAUGGUUUAUAUCGCGGUUCGCUGCCUCCCACUCUAAAGAGAGGCAGCUGAAACCCAGCACAACCAGCUUCCCCUGCUUGUGACUGCGUAUACAUUUUAUUUUGAGUCUUUUGAAUUGAUUCUACUGCGUCAUGGUGUAGUUUAUGUUCUGGUGGGGGCGUACGCGGCAGAGAGUAUACGUCUGUGUCUCCUUUACUCCCAUCUCCGCUAAUGUCUGCGUCAGGGUCUUCGUCUGAGUCAGUCCAUCUCCCUACUGCUUGCCCCGUGAGUACCACCCGUCCUUUAUGUGAAUUUCCCUUUUUCUGCCUAGUUUUUGCUGCCCAAGACUCCGACCCCG
ensembl:lncRNA